UACAGAGGUCCCAAGCGUUGUUCGGAUUCACUGGGCGUAAAGGGUGCGUAGGUGGUGAGGCAAGUCGGAUGUGAAAUCUCCGGGCUUAACCCGGAAACUGCAUUGGAAACUGCCUUGCUAGAGGUUUUGAGGGGGGACUGGAAUUCUCGGUGUAGCAGUGAAAUGCGUAGAUAUCGAGAGGAACACCAGUGGCGAAGGCGAGUCCCUGGAAAACACCUGACACUGAGGCACGAAAGCUAGGGGAGCAAACAGG
rnacentral:rRNA from 1 species